rnacentral:tmRNA from 1 species
GGGGAUGACAGGCUUCGACGGGAGAGGCUGGUCCCAGAUUGCGAGCCGAGAGGUACCGACCUCGAUAAAUCAGUACAAUGCUAUGCCUCUCGCUGCCUAGUGAGAGACUAGUAGCCGAAUGGUUCCUUUGAGGACCACGUCUAUCUACCCCGCCUCCUGACCGGUGGAAGAAUAGGCGACACAAAGUCAGGGUGCCAUAUUUCAAUCUGCAGGAAAUAUGAAAGAGGACUUUCGGGUCUGAGCAGAUAGCACUACAUCAGUUUUGUUAGUUGUCUGAUGUAGCUGCAAAUGGAUCAACUAACUACGCUCGUAGAUAUCUGUUGAUCUAUUCUUUCGGACGCGGGUUCGAUUCCCGCCAUCUCCACUA